rnacentral:rRNA from 1 species
GACGAACGCUGGCGGCGUGCUUAACACAUGCAAGUCGAACGGAAAGGCCCUGCUUUUGUGGGGUGCUCGAGUGGCGAACGGGUGAGUAACACGUGAGUAACCUGCCCUUGACUUUGGGAUAACUUCAGGAAACUGGGGCUAAUACCGGAUAGGAGCUCCUGCUGCAUGGUGGGGGUUGGAAAGUUUCGGCGGUUGGGGAUGGACUCGCGGCUUAUCAGCUUGUUGGUGGGGUAGUGGCUUACCAAGGCUUUGACGGGUAGCCGGCCUGAGAGGGUGACCGGCCACAUUGGGACUGAGAUACGGCCCAGACGCCUACGUGAGGCAGCAGUGGGGAAUAUUGCACAAUGGGCGGAAGCCUGAUGCAGCAACGCCGCGUGCGGGAUGACGGCCUUCGGGUUGUAAACCGCUUUCGCCUGUGACGAAGCGUGAGUGACGGUAAUGGGUAAAGAAGCACCGGCUAACUACGUG